rnacentral:rRNA from 1 species
AACGAACGCUGGCGGCAUGCCUAACACAUGCAAGUCGAACGAGACCUUCGGGUCUAGUGGCGCACGGGUGCGUAACGCGUGGGAACCUGCCCGUAGGUUCGGAAUAACUCCCCGUAAGGGGUGCUAAUACCGGAUAAUGUCUUCGGACCAAAGAUUUAUCGCCUUUGGGUGGGGCCGCGUUGGAUUAGCUGGUUGGUAGGGGACAAGCAGAUCAACGCGACGAUCCAUAGCUGGUCGGAGAGGAUGCUCUGCCACGCUGGGACUGCGACACGGCCCAGACUCCUACGGGAGGCAGCAGUAGGGAAUAUUGGACAAUGGGCGAAAGUCUGAUCCAGCCAUGCCGCGUGAGUGAUGAAGGCGUUAGGGUUGUAAAGCUCUUUUACCCGGGGUGAUAAUGACAGUACCGGGAGAAUAAGCUCCGGCUAACUCCGUG